CCCCUCUCAGGGUCACCCCUGGAGAGUUUCCAGUUCUCUGCCAGUCUUGACUAUGGGAGGGAGAGGGAGGUAUAUCCAUUCCAUUCCUAGCUGGGGCAGUGGCUAGCGAGUGGAAGGCCAUCUGCUACAAGU